UACGAAGGGGGCUAGCGUUGCUCGGAAUUACUGGGCGUAAAGGGAGCGUAGGCGGACAUUUAAGUCAGGGGUGAAAUCCCAGAGCUCAACUCUGGAACUGCCUUUGAUACUGAGUGUCUUGAGUGUGAUAGAGGUAUGUGGAACUCCGAGUGUAGAGGUGAAAUUCGUAGAUAUUCGGAAGAACACCAGUGGCGAAGGCGACAUACUGGAUCAUUACUGACGCUGAGGCUCGGAAGCGUGGGGAGCAAACAGG
rnacentral:rRNA from 1 species